AGCAGUGUGGCUCAGUGGAAAGAGCACGGGCUUGCGAGUCAGAGGUCAUGGGUUCGAUUACCAACUCUGCCA
rfam:Ornithorhynchus anatinus chromosome 4, whole genome shotgun sequence.